rnacentral:rRNA from 1 species
AGAGUUUGAUCAUGGCUCAGGAUGAACGCUAGCGGCAGGCUUAAUACAUGCAAGUCGAGGGGCAGCAGGGGCGUAGCAAUACGUUCGCUGGCGACCGGCAAACGGGUGCGGAACACGUACACAACCUUCCUUAAAGUGGGGGAUAGCCCGGGGAAACCCGGAUUAAUACCCCGUAACAUAAUGAAGUGGCAUCGCUUUAUUAUUAUAGCAGCAAUGCGCUUAAAGAUGGGUGUGCGACUGAUUAGGCAGUUGGCGGGGUAACGGCCCACCAAACCUACGAUCAGUAACUGGUGUGAGAGCACGACCAGUCACACGGGCACUGAGACACGGGCCCGACUCCUACGGGAGGCAGCAGUAAGGAAUAUUGGUCAAUGGACGCAAGUCUGAACCAGCCAUGCCGCGUGGAGGAUGAAGGUCCUCUGGAUUGUAAACUUCUUUUAUCUGGGAAGAAACCCACAAAUUCUUUUGUGGUUGACGGUACCAGAUGAAUAAGCACCGGCUAACUCCGUGCCAGCAGCCGCGGUAAUACGGAGGGUGCAAGCGUUAUCCGGAUUCACUGGGUUUAAAGGGUGCGUAGGUGGGUUGGUAAGUCAGUGGUGAAAUCUCCAGGCUUAACUUGGAAACUGCCAUUGAUACUAUCAAUCUUGAAUACCGUGGAGGUCAGCGGAAUAUGUCAUGUAGCGGUGAAAUGCUUAGAGAUGACAUAGAACACCAAUUGCGAAGGCAGCUGGCUACGCGGAUAUUGACACUGAUGCACGAAAGCGUGGGGAUCAAACAGGAUUAGAUACCCUAGUAGUCC